UAAGAUAGAGGUGCGAUUUGUUAAUAGUAGCUCCUUCGUGUUAAGUCCGGCGGGACGAUAGGCGGAGCGAAAGGAACUGUCGCCGAAGACGGCACGCCGGCGGGCGUCCGCUCUGGUAAUUCGGAAUAAUAUCCGUGUUACUGUCGCUUUUGCGGAGAGCUAUCG
rnacentral:ncRNA from 1 species